AUGGAAAAAAGGGGCUUCAGUGCGCGAUGGAGAGAUUGGAUAGCACUGUUGCUGUCCUCCUCCUCUUCGUCCUUCCUCCUCAAUGGCAUCCCCGGAAAGAAGGUUCGGCACCGGCGAGGCCUACGGCAGGGUGACCCACUGUCACCU
rnacentral:rRNA from 1 species